rnacentral:misc_RNA from 1 species
GCCCCCACCGUUGCUUCCAGUAGGUCAUGAUGCAGCGCACCUGUCCUCCCGCGCUGCUCCACCCCUUCCCACUCCUCCCAUUUGCAAGUCCCAGUACCAGGUUUUCAAAACCGCCUUCACGCAGUCCACAGAUAAAAUACCGGCCUCCUCCUCCCUUUCCCCCUCCGAUUCCCGCGCCCGCCCCUACGCUGCCAAAAGCGGGGGACACCGCCCGUCCCCCUCCCCGUCCGGGUCUCCACAAGCGCACCUGCGCGCGCGCGCCCGGCUUCCGUUGCGCAGCAGGGCAGCUGGGCAGGGCAGGGCAGGUCGCCAUUUAGUCCUCUGCGCUUUUUGGCGUUGGUUCUUCUUGCACAACUCUUCUGCUGGAUUCCAGCUCUGUUUUUCUUUCUCCUGUCCUGCUGUCACUCGGUCGGGACGAGAUCAAUAAAAAGGAAGAAAGAAGCAGCGCGGCAAGCCGGCGGCGUCGCGAAGCUUAAGAUCAGAGACACCGUUGGUUGGGCGUUGCUUCAGAUAUAAUCUACAAGACCAAGCUCAGAUUCCAUCAGUCGGUACGUACGUCGGAACAGCCUCACUUCGCUCGCUGCUGCGCGUUAGAUGCCGGUUGCUUCGUCGCUAAUGGCGAUGGAGUUGGAGACGGACCAACUCGCCUGGGCGGAGCAGCAGCGGCAGCAGAAUAGGAGGCAGACCAUGGUCGUCUGCAGAAAGAGCGACGCAGCGGUGGCCAAAGGGCAGCAGCGUCAGAACGCUUCGCCGCCGUCGCCCAAGCCUCCGCCCGCGGGCGGGCUCAGCGCGGAGGCGUUCUUGGUUCUGGCGUGCGUCGCCGUGUCGCUCAUCGUGCUGCCGCUGGUCCUGCCGCCGCUGUCGCCCCCGCCGCCUCUGCUGCUGCUGGUGCCGGUGUGCCUGCUCCUGCUCCUCGCCGCGCUCGCCACCUUCGUGCCGUCGGAUGUCAGGAGCAUGCCAUCCUCCAACUUGUAACUACUAGUUGUUUUGCUAGUCAAUAUCCAUAAAUUCUUUUUGUUCAAGUCGGCAUUUAUGUCUGUGCAUAUGGCAUAAAAUGAGUGUAAUGAAAUGGAAAUCUUGUCUUAUCUUUCUUUUUUUGGCAAACAGACGUUCACCGUUAGAUCGAACAAACUACUACGUACUUGUGCUUUCUGCCUGCGUUUUGGUUGAAUUCAUCUAGUUUCUAC